UCGCACAAGAUGGCAGUUGCAACAUCCGCUGUGGGGAAAAAAGCAACAUCGAGAAGAUUGGAACCAACAAAGAAAAUAAAAGUUCGUGAACAGGCUGUGAAAACGGGAGCUCAGUCAUUCUCGCCAAUAACGGUUUCGCGUGUGAUUCUUGCGGCUGCAAGACAGUGCCGCUGGUAAAACUCAUCGGCUUGACAAGACCGCUGAAAAGGCAAGAAACCCGAGAAUCGUCACAAUUGCCACCGUCAGCAAUCAGCCCAUCUCACACGAGGCAUGAGAAAAACGGAAGCAGAUAAUCUGGGAAGGCUGUGGACAAAAUUCACGACAGGAUUUUACCCGGUGGAAAUUUAAAUCCCCGAGUGUCCAGCUUUUCGGUCAGAACGACUCACGAUCCUCGAGAGUGUCAUUCAGACUCAAACGGUGGCGACAAAUACGUUGGUCACACCAAGUGUUUGCCAAUCGAAAAGUUCACAGAAAGGUUCGCUACCGGUACUGAAUUCCUUGGUCUCUGUCGCAUUCGGGAACGAGAAGAGCCUUCCCAGGAAGGCUCUUCUUUUGUGUUUUUUUUUUGCAGUUUGAGUGUACUGCGUGAAGACCGGGAUCAACCAACCCCCUGUGUGGCAGAAGCCGCAAAACGAACACUCCGAAAGACGGACCGAGAAGAAGCGCCGGCGGGAUCGCGCUCAAGACGCGGAUCUGAAUGAUUCAGUAUCGCGGGAAACACGGAACUGAUAGGAAAAGACGGUGAGAGUGAAUCUGACCCCGCGAGGAUCUGGCAGUCGUGACGUGGUCAGCCCGAAUCCCCUUUCCAGCGGUCAGCGUUCCAGCGAUCAAGGUGCACAUCGAUCACCUACUUUUUGAGGAGAGCAAAGGUCAAUCCCACGCGACGGGAACUGUUCUUGCUGUUGGCAGGCGGGAGGUAGAGACGGGAGCGGCGGACGUGAGUUAUAACACUAAGAAGAUGAGAAGGGAAGAAGAAAGAAGAAGAAGAGCAUGCACAGUGAGCAGGAGAAUAGGGAAGUAGAAGAGGAAUGAGGUAUCGUAUG